GAUGAACGCUGGCGGCGUGCCUAAUACAUGCAAGUCGAGCGAACGGACGAGAAGCUUGCUUCUCUGAUGUUGGCGGCGGACGGGUGAGUAACACGUGGAUAACCUACCUAUAAGACUGGGAUAACUUCGGGAAACCGGAGCUAAUACCGGAUAAUAUUUUGAACCGCAUGGUUCAAAAGUGAAAGACGGUCUUGCUGUCACUUAUAGAUGGAUCCGCGCUGCAUUAGCUAGUUGGUAAGGUAACGGCUUACCAAGGCAACGAUGCAUAGCCGACCUGAGAGGGUGAUCGGCCACACUGGAACUGAGACACGGUCCAGACUCCUACGGGGGGCAGCAGUAGGGAAUCUUCCGCAAUGGGCGAAAGCCUGACGGAGCAACGCCGCGUGAGUGAUGAAGGUCUUCGGAUCGUAAAACUCUGUUAUUAGGGAAGAACAUAUGUGUAAGUAACUGUGCACAUCUUGACGGUACCUAAUCAGAAAGCCACGGCUAACUACGUG
rnacentral:rRNA from 1 species